CACAAUUUCACUCCUCUGCAUUCACCAAAUGUCCAAUUACAUAUCCUCCCUGCCUGGACCUUCAAAACAAUAUAAAACUGAAUGAAGGCAAUGAAAGAAGUCACAGGAGGAUUUUUGCAGAGCUUCCAUCCAGUUCAGAAACAAAGCAAUUCAAUACAUGUCUUCAAGAUUUCUAAAGGCAAUGACUUAAUUCUAAGUUCCAUGAAAGCAGGCAUUGUGUGAAUUUCUCCUGCAUCUGGAACUGGCCUAGCACAGCAAUAGAACCGUGGAGAAUUGCCAAGAUUGCUGACUAGAUGUGGCCAGGAGAAAUAUCUCCCACUGAGAGACUGGGACAUUGGAAAGACUAUAACACACCUCUGAGUAGAUCUUCUGAUGGAAGGCAUUAAGAGUGGAUGCAGAGAGGAUGCAGAUGCUGGGCUGAAGAGAGAGGAAGCUGGGAACCCUGCAUAGUGUGGCUGAGCCUCAGGACUUGUACCUGGCCCUCAGAGACUCCUGGGGGAAGGGUGAGUUUACAGGUGAGGAGUGGCCCGCUCUCACCAUGGACCCAUUCCGGUAGGUCCCUCAACCUCUAUGGGCAUCUGAGAUGGUAGGAAAAGCUGCUCAGAGAGGUCAUAUGGGCAGGACUCCAGCCUAUGCAGAGCCCAGAGUGGUGGGAGAACAGCUGCAGUGAAGCACAUCCAGGGACGUCCAUCUUCCAAGGCUCACUAUGCUUCUCCAGGAUACUUUAGCCUCAAUAUGACUGUUAGAGCUAGACAAAGCAGGGCAGUCUUGCUCGUGGGAUGUGGCCUGAUGCCUGAUCUGAUGCUGUGUUACCUGCUGGCCUCUCUUGGGGAGCCAGUCUGGUCGUGCUUGCUUGAAGUGCAGCCUUGGAUACCCAACAGGGGUGCUUCUAGGAACCCUCAUCAUAGCUCCUUCAAUGGCAGACUGUGCCUGAUUAUCAGAGAACUCCAGCAGACCAGGCCCCACUUACAUGAACCAGCCCACACACAGCUUCACCCCAUCACAGCCCUCCCGUAAUGCUUUACUGACAUGAAUUUGCUCAUGGCCAUCCUCCAUCGCUGUGCUUGUAUGAGUCCACCUUGUUGCUUCCCCCGGCCAUCAACAUGCAGGUUCACUCCUGUGCCAGCACUAAUGUGUGCACAGAUGCUGGCAACACUGCUCUCCCCCCAACCCCCGCCACCACCGCCACCAAUGCUGCCAGUGUGAAUGCAUACAUGGAUACCAGUAACUCCAUCUCUGCUAGUGUACUGCCCUUGCUGUGCUGUCAUCACUGGCAUAAACAUGUGCAGGAACACCACCUCCCUGCUCCCACAGUUGCCCUUCGCAAGCCAACAUGUGUGCAUCUUGCCACAUUGCUGUGGCUGCUGGUAUGCAUGAGCCAGCAUGGAUCCCACUGCCACUAAUCCAGUGACAUGCUUUGACCAGCACCCCUCCCCAUCAGAGUGUGGUGGCCAGUGGACAAGAACACCUCAGUCUCUCCAGUGCAGCAGCUUCCUAACCUUGAGGGGCCAGAGAACAAGGCCGGGGGCCCAGUACCAGCCUCCCAGAGUUAAAACAUGCAGCCCAGCAGUGUAGAGCUGAGACUUGGCUUUCUAAAAUCUUCCAGAAAUGAAGCCUGUUGACUGAACCCGUCAUAUGCCACAAUCUAACUCCCAGGGCAUCAAAGAAGAUAAAAGCCAAAAUCCCCAUCCAAAGGACAGUAAUAUCAAAGAUGAGAAAGAACCAGUGCAAAAAAAUCUGGCAAUUCAAAAAGCCAGAGUAUCUUUUUACCUCCAAAUGAUCACUCCAUUUCCUCAGUGAUGGUUCUUAACUAGGCUGAAAAGACAGAAAUGACAGAUAUAGACUUCAGAAUAUGAAUAGGAAAGAUGAUCAAGAUUUGGGAGAAGAUUGAAACCCAAUCCUAGGAAACUAAGGAAUACAAUAAUGCAAUACAGGAACUGAAAGAUGAAAUGGCCAUUUUAAGAAAGAACCAAACUGAUGUGAUAGAGUGACAGAGCUGAAAAACUCACUUUGAGAAUUUCACAAUACAACUGCAAGUAUUAACAGCAGAGUAGACCAUGCUGACGAAGGACUCUCAGGUCUUGAAGACCAGUUCUCCAAAGUUAACUUGGUCAGACAAAAAUAAAGAAAAAAGGAUAUAAAAAGAAUAAAUAAAACCUCCAAGAAACAUGAGAUUAUGUAAAGAGAUCAAAUUUCGGAUGCAUUGGCAUCCUUGAAAAUGAGGGAGAGAAAGCAUGCAACUUGGAAAACAUAUUUCAAGAUAUUGUCAAUGAAAAAUUCCCCAACCUUGCUAGAGAGUCCAAUAUUCAAAUCCAGGAAAUGAAGAGAACGCCUGCAAGAUAUUAUACAAGAUCAUCAUUCGCAAGACACAGAGUCACCUGAUUCUCUGAGGUUGAAAUGAAAGAAAAAAUGUUAAAGUCAGCUAAAGAGAAGGGACAGGUUGCUUACAAAGGCAACCCCAUCAAGCUAACAGCAGACCUUUCAGCAGAAAUCCUACAAGCCAGAAGAGAUUGGGGGCUUAGAUUCAGUAUUUUUAAAGAAAAUAAAAUCCAAAUAAGAAUUUCAUAUUCAGCCAAACUAAGCUUCAUAAGCAAAGGAGAAAUAAGAUCCUUUUCAGAUAAGCAAAUACUAAAAGAAUUACCAUCAGAUAUGCCUUUACAUGAGGUUGUGAAGGGAGUACUAAAUAUGGAAAGGAAAGAUCAUUAUCAGCAACCACAAAAACACACUUAAGCACAUAGACCAUUGAUACUAUAAAGCAACUACACAUCAAGUCUGUAUAAUACCAGCUAAAAACAUGAUGACAGGAUUAAAUCUGCACUAUCAAUAUUAACCUUAAAUGGCAAUGGGCUAAAUGCAUCAAUUAAAAGGCACAGCAUCGCAAGCUGGAUAAAGAAGCAAAAUUCAUUGGUGUGCUGUCUUCAAGAGAUCCAGCUCACAUGAAACAACAUGGAUAGGCUCAAAAUAAAGAGAUAGAGAAAAUCAACCAAGCAAACGAGAAACACACAACCAUAAAAAAAAUGUAUUCAUGUCCUUUGUGGUGACAUGGUUGGUGCUGGAGGUCAUAAUCCUGAGCAAACUAAUCAGGACAGAAAACCAAGUACUGCAUGUUGUCACUUAUAAGUGGAAGCUAAACAUUGAAUGAAUACACAUGGACACAAAGAAGAAAAUAACAGACCCUGAGGCCUACUUGAGGGUGGAGAAUGGGAGGAGAGUGAGGAUUGAAAAACUAUCUAUUGGGCACUAUGCUUAUUACCUUGGUGAAAAAAUAAUCUGUGCAGCAAAUCCCUGUAACAUGCAAUUUACCUAUAAUAAGCCUGUGCAUGUACCUCUGAACCUAAAAUGAAAGUUACAAAAAGAAAAAAAAAGAAACUAUACAAAACAUAUUUGUAGGAAAAAUGAGUAAAGUGAAUUCAGUGUUAAACUCUUUGAUGAUUAUUAUUAAAAUUAUGUAAAUCUAUGUAAUUUAAGUAGACAUUUUGCCAAAUGUGGUUUCAGUGAAGACUUUUAAUAUCAUGGUAUUUUUGUUUUCAUCUUACGGGAUCUUUUUGAGUAAUAAAAAUAAUAUUUUCAAACAACUACAAAAAUAUAUUAGUAAACAUUAUAGGAUCUAAACAACACUAUUUGCCAUCUUGAUCUAGUUGGCAUUUGUAGAACAAGAAUCCAACAACUCCAGAAUAUACUUUUCCACCCUAAAUACACAUAGUACAUUCACCAAAAUAAACCAGGAACUUCAGUCAGGAAUGAGAUAGAUGUCAUGACUUGAUGUUUAAGAAGAAUCUAUUACCACCAAAGCAAUCACUUUGCAAAUUGAUAAAACCUAUAUUUACAUUUUGAAAUAUUUCCUAAUUUAUUAAAUUGUUGUAAGAAAAGUGAAUUAAAUAUAAAGUGCCACAGCAAGACCUGUAA